rnacentral:lncRNA from 1 species
AAGUACGUAUAAGAGUUAUUUACUUAUUGCACUUGCUUACUAUCCAGCAAUUUAUCAGCCUUCUGACAUAUAGGAUGAAAUUUACUAUUUCGGUAAAUUUAUCAUGCAUCCACAAUAAAAAAUAAAUAUACAGUACACGCAACAUUAGAAGUAAAUUAUUUGUUAUAGAAAUUGAUAUCUCAAAGAAAUGGAGACCAAUAAUGGCCAAGGGUAACUCACACUUUCACAUGAAAAAGUAGAGCCUUGGCCAGCUAAUUGUAUGAAUAUAUUACCAUUCAAUUCCUUUUGGUUUUUUAGAGCAACACAUGUAAACUGCCUUCUCCAAAUUUUUAAAGGAAUGGAGCCAAGAUGGAGAGUGCAUUUUCAGCUAGUCCUUGUCCUGUAAGAGGUGUAUUUCUGGUCAUGUUCUUAUACAGGAAUGGUUUAUCUUAUAAAAACAGACUUACUUUAAUCUCUUUUUUAGCUCUUUUUAAAAUGUCAAGUCUAUUGAUACUCUUUUUGAGCUUGCUUGGCAUGGGGUAUGGUAUGUUAUGGGGCAUGUUAGGCCUUUUUAAAUUUUUGAAAAAAGCUUGCUGAUAUUUUUUCUCUCACAGCAAUUGCAGGCAUUGACCUACUUGGACACCUUGCAAAACUUUAUUGCUCCAGACUUAUAGCAAUGAGAUACCUAAUAGGAAGUGGCACAAAGUGGCAAUAGAUAAGUAAAUAAAUAAUUUAUUAAUAUUCACUUGGGAAAUUUCAGAUGUUCUGGGUUGCUGUCCGCCGAGUGGUACUCCAUUUCUGAGGUAAUCCAAAGUGAGUUUGGGAGCAUCAGAAGACGAACUCGCUUCUCAUUCUACGUUUCCUUUUGUUAGGGGAAAGGAGGCUUAGUUGACAGAUACUUAUCAAUAUCUUUUAGUUAAAUUUGCUGGAGACUCGGCCUCACUGAAAAUUAAAAUGCCUUGAAAACUAUUUUUUAUAUUUGUUGAAAUAUUUAAUCAACAAAUGAAAUGACUUCUUCAUAAUUUGAUGCUUACGAGAUACUUGCUCUUCAAAUGUUCUGGGGAUAGUUCAUCUUUGCAUAUAUAUGCCUGAGGAAGCAAGCCUUCAUUGACACUGCUUCUAAACAUUCUGAUGUCUUCUGUGACGAGGUCACCUAGCUUUCUCCUAUCAUCCUGCUCACCAAAAAUCCUUUCAUACUGAGCUGGACAACUAUGUCAAUUACUUCACCUUUUACAGUUGCUGUUAUGUCCUUGCAAGUGGUUUAGGCUAGGAGUAAAAAGUAAAUGAAUUUUAUAAGUGUUCAGUUAAUCAAGACUGUCCCAACAGUGAAAGGACAUUGUUCACUGAGCCAUAGAUAAUAGAUGGGAAGGAUGGUUUGGAAACAACCACAUGCAGUUGAGUAUCCUUUCUCAUUGGCAAAGAAAUUCUAGUUUCUGAAGGGCAUGGUUAUAGUAUCUGUAGCAUAAAGAAAUAUCAAAGAAAUCAAAAGUUAAAGAGUGCAUAAGCACUGCACUAACAGGUUGAACAAGAACUUCUUGUGAAAAUAGUUUUUAUAUUAUAUUGAUUUACAUUAUUUGACACUUUCAUAAUUAUGUGUGUCUUUGGCUCCCUCAAAAAUUCUCUGUUGGUCCAUCCUCAUUUAGUUUUAUAUAUCAGUGCAUUAUCAGAUUUUGUGUCGCCAUAAUUUUAAA